rnacentral:rRNA from 1 species
AGAGUUUGAUCCUGGCUCAGAUUGAACGCUGGCGGCAUGCCUUACACAUGCAAGUCGAACGGCAGCACGGAGCUUGCUCUGGUGGCGAGUGGCGAACGGGUGAGUAAUAUAUCGGAACGUACCCUAGAGUGGGGGAUAACGUACCGAAAGUUACGCUAAUACCGCAUACGAUCUAAGGAUGAAAGUGGGGGAUCGCAAGACCUCAUGCUCGUGGAGCGGCCGAUAUCUGAUUAGCUUGUUGGUGGGGUAACGGCCUACCAAGGCGACGAUCAGUAGCUGGUCUGAGAGGAUGAUCAGCCACACUGGGACUGAGACACGGCCCAUACUCCUACGGGAGGCAGCAGUGGGGAAUAUUGGACAAUGGGCGCAAGCCUGAUCCAGCCAUGCCGCGUGAGUGAUGAAGGCCUUAGGGUUGUAAAGCUCUUUUGUCCGGGACUAUAAUGACGGUACCGGAAGAAUAAGCCCCGGCUAACUUCGUGCCAGCAGCCGCGGUAAUACGAAGGGGGCUAGCGUUGCUCGGAAUCACUGGGCGUAAAGGGCGCGUAGGCGGCCGAUUAAGUCGGGGGUGAAAGCCUGUGGCUCAACCACAGAAUUGCCUUCGAUACU